CCGGGAGAUUCAUCCGCCGACAGUGCUUGGGAGGAGAAAGGACCCGCGUGGUGCAGCGCCGAUAUCAACCCCCUCCCACCCACCAGCCAAGGCUCAUAAAAUAAGGUGGCGACAUGUCGACGUUGAGAUCCGGGCUCUGCCGACCCGGGAUCAUCCUGUAUUUGGCUUUCAUCGUACUGUCCGCACGGAGUUCAGAGUCUGCUCCAGUUUAUGAAUCUGACUCGACGCAGGUUGCAGAAUAUGAUGCAGGU